GACGAACGCUGGCGGCGUGCCUAAUACAUGCAAGUAGAACGCUGAAGGAGGAGCUUGCUUCUCUGGAUGAGUUGCGAACGGGUGAGUAACGCGUAGGUAACCUGCCUGGUAGCGGGGGAUAACUAUUGGAAACGAUAGCUAAUACCGCAUAAGAGUAGAUGUUGCAUGACAUUUGCUUAAAAGGUGCAAUUGCAUCACUACCAGAUGGACCUGCGUUGUAUUAGCUAGGUGGUGGGGUAACGGCUCACCAAGGCGACGAUACAUAGCCGACCUGAGAGGGGGAUCGGCCACACUGGGACGGAGACACGGCCCAGACUCCUAAGGGAGGCAGCAGUAGGGAAUCUUCGGCAAUGGACGGAAGUCUGACCGAGAAACGCCGCGGGAGUGAAGAAGGGUGUCGGAUCGUAAAGCUCGGUUGUAAGAGAAGAACGAGUGUGAGAGUGGAAAGUUCACACUGUGACGGUAGCUUACCAGAAAGGGACGGCUAACUACGUG
rnacentral:rRNA from 1 species